rnacentral:snRNA from 1 species
UCUAUAGAGAAGAUUAGCAUGGCCCCUGCACAAGGAUGACACAUGCAUGUCAGAAGGGUUCUCCUACGGGAGCAAUUUUUU